rnacentral:rRNA from 1 species
AUUGAACGCUGGCGGCAGGCUUAACACAUGCAAGUCGAACGGAAACAGGAAUAGCUUGCCAUUUGCUGUCGAGUGGCGGACGGGUGAGUAAUGCUUGGGAAUAUGCCAAAACGUGGGGGACAACAGUUGGAAACGACUGCUAAUACCGCAUAAUGUCUUCGGACCAAAGCAGGGGACCUUCGGGCCUUGCGCGUUUUGAUUAGCCCAAGUGGGAUUAGCUAGUUGGUAAGGUAAUGGCUUACCAAGGCGACGAUCCCUAGCUGAUCUUAGAGGAUGACCAGCCACACUGGAACUGAGACACGGUCCAGACUCCUACGGGAGGCAGCAGUGGGGAAUAUUGCACAAUGGAGGAAACUCUGAUGCAGCCAUGCCGCGUGUGUGAAGAAGGCUUUCGGGUUGUAAAGCACUUUCAGUGGGGAGGAAAGGGUUNUCCGCUUAAUAAGUAACAUCUGUGACGUUACCCACAGAAGAAGCNCCGGCUAACUCCGUGCCAGCAGCCGCGGUAAUACGGAGGGUGCGAGCGUUAAUCGGAAUUACUGGGCGUAAAGCGCGCGUAGGUGGUUAAUUAAGUCAGAUGUGAAAGCCCAGGGCUCAACCUUGGAACUGCAUUUGAAACUGGUUAACUAGAGUUUUGUAGAGGGUGGUAGAAUUUCAGGUGUAGCGGUGAAAUGCGUAGAGAUCUGAAGGAAUACCAGUGGCGAAGGCGGCCACCUGGACAAAGACUGACACUGAGGCGCGAAGGCGUGGGGAGCAAACGGGAUUAGAUACCCCGGUAGUCCACGCAGUAAACGAUGUCUAUUAGAAGUUUGUGGCUAUAUGCCGUGGGUUUCAAAGCUAACGCAUUAAAUAGACCGCCUGGGGAGUACGGCCGCAAGGUUAAAACUCAAAUGAAUUGACGGGGGCCCGCACAAGCAGUGGAGCAUGUGGUUUAAUUCGAUGCAACGCGAAGAACCUUACCAUCCCUUGACAUCCAGAGAAUCACCUAGAGAUAGAUGAGUGCCUUCGGGAGCUCUGAGACAGGUGCUGCAUGGCUGUCGUCAGCUCGUGUUGUGAAAUGUUGGGUUAAGUCCCGCAACGAGCGCAACCCUUAUCCUUACUUGCCAGCGGGUUAUGCCGGGAACUUUAGGGAGACUGCCGGUGAUAAACCGGAGGAAGGUGGGGACGACGUCAAGUCAUCAUGGCCCUUACGGGAUGGGCUACACACGUGCUACAAUGGCAGAUACAAAGGGUUGCUAACCAGCGAUGGUAUGCGAAUCUCAUAAAGUCUGUCGUAGUCCGGAUCGGAGUCUGCAACUCGACUCCGUGAAGUUGGAAUCGCUAGUAAUCGUGGAUCAGAAUGCCACGGUGAAUACGUUCCCGGGCCUUGUACACACCGCCCGUCACACCAUGGGAGUGGGCUGCACCAGAAGUCAUUAGCUUAACCUUUCGGGGAUGGCGAUGACCACGGUGUGGUUCAUGACUGGGGUGAAGUCGUAACAAGGUAGCCCUAGGGGAACCUGGGGCUGGAUCACCUCCUUA